CCAGUUCUGAGCAAGCUUCGGGACGGGAGCCUUGCCUUCAAAACUCAUUACAACUUCCAUUUCUUUGCUGUUCCUUUUGGAAAUAUUUUCAUCGGUUGAAGAAGUCAGACUUGCUAACCACUGCUCCAAGACGCUUCAAUUAUGUCCAGACUUCAGACUUCUCAUUGGUUUGCCUAAAACGCGUGUGCAUCAGUCAGAGACAGCAGAGGCAGACGGAAGAGACUGUGGAGCCAGACUGCCCAGAUGGAAUCUGUGGGACCUUGGGAAGUGAGUGAUCCCGUGCCUGGUCUCCAUGUCUGUCAAAUGGGGAUGAUACUAAUGCCUGCCUCUGAGGGGGCUGAGUGGAUUCCUGGCAGGGCAGCUGGACCUUGCCUGAUCCUGGUAAUAUUCUACUAGUAAAGAUUAGCACUUAUUAUAUGCCGUUAAUAUGGUUGAAACACUUGGGUACCUUAUUUCACACGAUGGCAAUAACUUAUGAAAUCAGAAGUGUAAAAUGAAUCAUAAGUUACAUGCUCUGGAAAUUCCUGCUACUUAUUUUUUUUAAGUUCCAAUGUCAAUUUUAUGCAACGGGAAGAAAAAAAAUCAGUGUGUGUGUGUGUGUGUGUGUGUGUGUGUGUGUGUGUGUGUGUAUUCAGGCUUUUCUAAAUCAAGUGUGCUGAACUUAAGGUAUUUCUCUACAGCUUAUUGUUAGGGGAUUUUUUUAAAGCAACAUCAUUUUCUUUUUCUCUUUAAUUUUAACAUUCAUUAAUUUGUGAGAGUGAGAGAGUCAGAGCACAAGCAGAGGAGGGGCAGAGAGAGAGGGAGACACAGAAUCCAAAGCAGACUCCAAGCUGUCAGCACAGAGCCCAGCGCGGGGCUCGAACUCAGGGACCACGAGAUCAUAACCUGAGCUGAAGUCGGAUGCUCAACUGACUGAGCCACCCAGGCGCCCUAUGAACAUCAUUUUCUUUAAAACACAAACAAUACAGCCUCACUAUUAAAAAGGGAGGUGAGAAGAAAAUCAAAGAAAAAGUGAAUAUUGCUUGUAAUCCAACCACCCAGAAAUAAUAACUGCUAAUAUUCUGACAUACUAUUUUCCAGCCACCUAUAUAUUUUUUAAUGUAUAUGUCAUUUUGGUGAAGAAAAUGCCAAAACACUGCUCUAGAACGUUUAUCUAGAAAGUGCCGCAGGCUGGGACAACAUUCUGGAAUCCAAUUUUCAAUCACACACAUCAGCCACCUCUGUGAUAAAACACGAGUUACGUAAUAAAUCAAAUUUUCACAUUGAAAUCCAAAUAACGAAGUGUUAACCUGUUUAUAUUUUAUAGCCACUUACUUCUGUCAAAUGUUCCUCCUAAAAUGGAGCACAACGACCUCCCACUCCUUCCAAGUCUGCUCUAAGGAGAACACAUGUUAGAGGAGACACCACGCAGAAAUGCAGCAGGGAAAGUAAGAGGAGGCCAGGAGGUCUGCAGCAAUGUGACUUUGUGUUUGUGGCUCAACGAUACCCCCACGUCCCACUGCACCUCAGGGUCCUCCCGGGUCUGACGCAGUGGGGAGCAGUGUAGAGGCUGGAAAUGCUUUUUGGCCAUUUGUUUCUUGCCCCUAGUUAAUCACUUAUCUUUAAAACACAUCGAGUGAUGGUCUCCUCACUGUGCUUUGCACUUUAUGCAUUACUUCAUGUAAUCUACACCAGACAAGUAGAAUCAGGUAUGAUUACUGUGCCCAUCUUACAGACUGGAGAACUGAGAUUCAGAGAAGUUAUAGGUAACUUGCUUGGGGCCACAACAUUAGGUGCAGAAGAGCAUGCAUUGACUAAGAACUGUCAGCCCCGCAGUGCUGCCAUCCUGGAAGGGCUCCAUCCAAUGGGUAAUGCCAACAGUGAAGAGAGACUCAGGGGCAGGAAAGAUGAUGGACAAAUACCCAUGUUGUAGGGUUUUGUGAAGGAAAUACAUUUUGGCUUUCGUCUACUUUCUAAAAUAAGCAUUUUGUUAAGGAAACAGUUACAUAAUAAACUCUCUUGUACUCACUAGGCUACAAAAAAAAUAUUUACCUAAUAACACUUAAUAAAUAAGCCUAGUAUUAAUGUUGAGGAAAUUCCAGGGGAGUAUAUUCUAGCAGGCUUUUUAAAAACAAAUACAGCAUUUCAGAUCUAAUUGGUUUUACAUUUACACUGUGUUGCAUUUUGCUUUUCUCACUUAGCAUCUGAUCGUGACAUUUUUCCAUGUCUUUAAAUAUUUUUCAGGAAUGUAUUUUCAGGGCCACAUAAUACUCAGUCAUAUGGGUGUAUCAGAAUUUAUGUAGCUCUUCCAUGAGCUGUUUCUGAAUUUUCCUUAUUAUAAAUUGGGCUCUGAGUAACAUACUUGUACAUAAAAAAAAAUUUGUAUCUAUUUUUUUUUAAUUCUGGAAAUUUUAAAUAUAGCCUGGAUCUGUAGAACACACUAUCAAAUAUGCUAAAAGAAAGCAAGGAAACAUCCAGAAGAGUGUGAACUGUCCUCAGGUGACCUCAUACAUCAAUCACCAUCGACACAGACAUUAAUUAAAUAAUAUUUCUUUUUCAAGAAGUCUUUCUCAACUGGAUCAUUUGCCCUUCCUAGAGAGUUCAGAUUGAAUAUGUAAUACCAGGAGCAAAUGCGACAGGGAGCAAAGUUCUGUUAACAUUUCCCAAAGCAUCCAGCCCCUCCUCUUACAAGUGUCGAGGAUCAUCAGCCCAAUACACCUUCAAACGUCACAUGCUCCGGCAUAUCCAUAAUUAAUUUCCAUUUUCAAAUUCCUGAGAUGGAUUCUGCCUUUGCUCUCAAGAGUUUAGAAUGGAUGGGUCAAGAGAAUUGUUUUUAUGACCUCAGCACCCUCUUUAUUCUGUUCCUUUAGAAAAUUCUAGUCUAUCUUUAUUUUGUGAAAAAAAAAUCACUAAAAACAUUAUGUUAUUCGUCUUCUGCUUAAAAAAUUUGUAUAUUUUUACACAUUAAAAUCCACCUUUAUAAUACUAUGACGACUUUUAUUCAAGAUGGUAGACUAAGCUGAGACAUUAUUUCUACCUAAAUUAAUACAAACAUAGACGCCUAAAAUAAUGACAAAAAUAAUCACACACAAAAAUAAUCAUAUGUGAAAGUUAAUGAUAGGAUACCUGAAAGGUAAAACUCCUAAAAGAUAGAAAUUCUAUGGGAUUACAGAUUAACAAACAAACAAACAAACAAACAAACACCAGUGAGUGCUACUUCAGAAGGUGGGGGUGGAUACGGCGUGCUGCCAUGCUCAGAAGAAUGGAAGCUAGGAAGAGAAGGAGGUACAGGGGUCACAAACCAGUGCUUAGCUAUGGUACCACAGGGGGAAACAGUCAGUCUUCAGCCUCCUCCCCACCACCGUGCCAGGUCAAAAUGCUAGGAAGUGGGUGUCUGUCUCCAAGGGUAGCAGUGACUACUGGGAGCUAUCUCAGUGGGUACCAGAUGGCUUUGUUUUAGACCUAACUAUAGUGGAUGCUGCAAUGCACCUGUCAGAUUUCUCUUCAGGGCUGAAAGAUUUAUUUUCCCAGCCUUUGGGGACCAUCUUUGACUGUCAGCCCCUCUCUGGAAAUGCCUUGGCUAUAGAGGGUCUUCUCCCCUAGGAUCGUACUUCUUUCCCAUGGCCCACAUCCAGUGACAGAUCACCAUUGAGCUAAAAAGGCCUGGUUCUCUCACCCAAUUCAAGACUACUCUGAAGGGGCAUGCUGGCUUCAGAGACCCCUGGAGACUGGCAGAGUCUUUGGUGAGACUAUCAGAGCACUGUUUGUUUGUCCUCUACCCAGCUCUGCUCCAUGUGACCACCCCCAAAGCACUCCCUAAUAAACUUCCCACAUACCAAUGUCCAUCUCUGAGUCACCUUACGGGAGAUCCCAGCCAAUAAAACCACCCAAAGUUCAGGCUUAGGCCUCCAUGCAAGAUAGCCCAGAGGCACAGACUGAAUGAAGCCUUAAUCAACCCAAACACUUUCACGUCACAUGUCAUAGACAAGCUCAGCCACUGAGUCACCCCUGGCCAUGUGCCUUUUCCAAACAUAUCGCACAAAAGUAAAAAUAACAACAAAACACUGGAAACUGAUGUUGCAUAUAGUAAGUCAACGACACAUUCCAUGUGAAAGAGUUGACGUAAACACAGACGGAAAUCUUUCCUAAAGAGGCACGGGAUGUCAGAGGGUAAUGCUUAACAUCUUUAAAAAUGCUCUCAAAGACUGCAUGUCAUUGUAUUUUCCCAGCCCCGGGACCUGGGCCUUACUCAGUCUGUUUCAUAAAUGUGGAAACUGAGGUUGUUGCCUGGACUUCUGUACUCGAGGACAGGAGUUGUAUCUAAAUCUCCUCAAGGACGUAAUAAAAGUGGAGUUGACCUCAGUGUCAAUGUUAGUAUUGAAGGGCUGAUCCACUUGUGAAAUACAGCACCGUAUUGAUACAUAUAGAAAAGUUAUUAGUUUGUAGUUAUAAGAUGCGUGUCACUGCACUGAGCAUGACACACGUGCGAAUCGGCACCGUUGGCCAUUGAUUUAAGCUAUUAGAAUAGCAGCUGGCCUUCUUCAAUCAAGCAGGCAAGUGGUAUCCGUAACAAGGAAGGACCUGGCAAAGGUCCAGAAACAAAGCAAUUUGCUAUUUUCCAUUUCCCUAAAUCCAUCACCAAAAUAACAGAGAAAACGCUCCCAGUCCAAUCACUUUUAUAUAUGCUCAGGCUAAACGAGAUGAAGGCCCUUGGCAGGCAAAACAUUCAGUAUGCGCUUUAGUACUGUCGAUAUAUGAAGCAAUCAACCCAGUUGGGCACUGUGUAAAUGUAACGGCAAACAUUUUAAUAAUAAACUAGAAACAUUUGGGCCCCUCAACCAGGUACGUGUGCCCAGAGCCGGUUUUUGGGAUUAAGUGUGUGGGUAGGAGGAGAAACAGGAGGCUCCACUGGGGAGGUGAGUGCCUCCCAUUGCAAAGUGGAAAAAAUCUGGAGGGAUAGGAUAGAGCCUGAACAAAAUCUGUACGUAGUACAGUAUAUAGCAUUUAGUCACAGAGCUCAAAGUGAGGUUUGGAAGUCCAUCAUUAAAUAACAUUAAUUGAUAUAAAUAACUACCAUUUACUGAGCAGUGUCUGUGUGUCAGCUUUAGAUUCACCUUCAGUACCUCACUGAUGCUUGCCUUUUAGAAGGAACAGAAGCCCUGAGAAGUUAAGUUACUUCACCCAGGCCACAGAGCUACUAAGGCUGAGAGGUGGCACUUAGAUCCCAGUGCUCAGAUUGCAGAGCCUGGGGGUUUGCCUGUCACAGAUGCUAUGAGGACCAGAGUUGGGAUGGUAAAAAGCAUGUACCCAGCCUAGGAAGCUUCGGGAAACGUUGGCUCCUCUCCCUGGGAUAGUCCAAAGCUGGUGGGAUCUAAAGAGGUAGAACAUAACAUUUUGCUGCCUUUUUAAAAUGCUCAAUAAAAUCAGACCUUCCCUUAUUUUAAAUGUCUCAAUCCCAGAUACUCAGGUGACACCUAGAAGGGCAUAAAUACUGGAGAUGGAGUCUUGGUGCUUGGAGUCUUGGCGGAGACAGAGUGAUAAAGAUAAAAGCACCAGGGGUUUUGUGCUCAGUCACCAAUAACUUCCUAGAGGUUUGUAAAUCCCCUAAAGGCUGCCCAGAUCUCCUGACUCCUGCCAAUGGCCAGUACUGACGCCUCUACCCCUACUCAAACCUACCUGAUCUUUAAAAAAUUCUGACUAGGACAGGCAAGCUGUCUAAAGCCAUCAACCCACAGGAGGGGUUCCAGAACCAACCUCUGUUUUCAACUCCUGGGUGGUUAUACAGUGGCUUCCUGCCUGCUUGUAAGCCUGGGUCUGUGCCUCAAGCAAGGGGGGGGCAUCUUAUUAAAAUUUACUUAGGUGCUUUUCUUUUCAGAUUUUCCUAGCUGACCUCCCUGCUCUUUUGCCAGAGGCAUCUUUAGCUGUAGGGAGGAUUAGGAUGUUGAAUCAGGAGUGCAAAGAGAGUGAAAGAUUUAAUAUUUGGCCUAAUGACUUAAACGAAACAAGAGUCCUGAAAGCCAGAAAAGGGCUGAUUCGCAAACAUUUUACUGUGAGCCUGAGGUAGAGCUAAACCAGGAUCGCAUGGAGGAGAGGUUUCCACCCACCCUGGGACCUUUUAACCUGUGUAAAGGAGACGGGGAGGCUGCUAGAGAGGGAGACAGAUGGGAAGGUU